rnacentral:lncRNA from 1 species
GAAGAAAUUGUUUAUCAAGUCCAGAUCUAUCUGCACUAAAAUUUUCAGAUGAAUUGGACAACUGGUUGUUAGGUUGCUGCCCCUGAAUUGGUAAUUUUAAGGAAAUUUUGCUGUUUUUGGUUAUUAUCUUGAAUACUAUUAUAGAUAGAGAUAACCUGUAAACAGCAAUAAUGUUCAUAAAAGUAAGAUUUACAAAUAAUUCAGCA